rnacentral:rRNA from 1 species
UACGUAGGUGGCAAGCGUUGUCCGGAUUUAUUGGGUUUAAAGGGUGCGUAGGUGGUCUAUUAAGUCAGUGCUGAAAUGUCCCGGCUUAACCGGGAGGGUGGCAUUGAUACUGAUGGACUUGAGUAAAGUUGAGGUGGGCGGAAUUGACGGUGUAGCGGUGAAAUGCUUAGAUAUCGUCAAGAACACCUAUUGCGAAGGCAGCUCACUAAGCUUUAACUGACACUGAGGCACGAAAGUGUGGGGAUCAAACAGG